UCCUCCAUAUGUCAUGACUGCCAUGCUCCUUGCUGGGACCUAGGGUGUGGGAGAGAACUGGGUGUGACUUUAGAAUGGAUCUGUCCUAAGAAAUAACAGAGUGGUACUGGUCUAGCACCGGAAGUUAUGUGAGCUUCUGUCUCUUCAUUUCUUAGAGGACAGAUAAGAUCAAAUUCUUGAUAAAAAUCACAGUUUUGUAAGUACAGAGUGAACUUGGGUAGAAUACUAGCAUUUUUAGUUUGGUUAUUCCCUUAUAUGCUAAGUUUUUAAAUGGGAUAAUGGUUUUUGAAAUUGAUUUACAUAUCGCAUAAUUCCUUCCUUCUUUCCUUCCUUCCUCCCUUCCUUCCUUCCUUCUUCCCUCCCUUCCUUCCUCCCUUCCUUCCUCCCUCCCUCCCUCCCUCCCUCCCUUCCUUCCUUCCUUUCUCCCUUCCUUCCUCCCUUCCCUCUUUGCUCCCUGCCCUCAGUAGGCUUCUAUUCCUGUCAUAAACAGUGUGACUAAAAGUAACUUGGAGAGGCAAGGGUUUUAUUUAGGUCUAGGUUGUAGCCCAUUUUAGAGGCCAUAGAUGGAUGAUACUUACUGGAUUUCUCCCAUGGCUUUAACAGUCUGCCAUUGGUGGUCUUCCCUGAGGUGGCACUCUCCACAAUAGACUGGACCCUGGAAUUUCAACAUUUAAUCAAGAAAAAAAAACCUUAACUUCGCCUACAGGAAAACUGAUAGACACAUUUUUUUUCAGUUGAGAUUAGUAUUCUAAGAUAUAUCUAGCUUUUGUUAAGUUGAGGUAAACAAACAAAACAGCAACAAAAAUAAAACAAGUAACUAAGAAGGACACCCCCUUUAUUCUUUCUCUUUUCCCUUCCUACAUCUCUUAUAAUCUAGUAAUAAAAUAUACUUGAACUUUUACACUUGAAAUUUCUUACAUAUUUGCAAAUAUAUUAAAAUAUCCAAAGAAAUACAGGUUCAUAAAAUGUGCUAGACACUGUGCUCUAUAAUUAAUUAUUAUGUAGAGAUUUAGUAAGCCUACAGUACAGUUACCAUUCUUCUGCUCUAGAUAAGAAACAUAGAUCCUGGGACUUUCUUAGGAUCUAAACAUAAACCACAAGAUUGAAACCCAACCUUAGCCUAUUGAGAUUAGCUUAAGAACAAACAAAGGAACAAACAAACAGGGUGCAGAUACUUUUAAUAGAACCUCUGUUCAAUAAGAACUUACACUCUAUGACUAUAAGUCCUUUUAAAAUGUUUUUUUCUAUUACCCAAAAUUGGAAUAUUAUUACAUCCUUUCCCUCUAUCCUGUCUCAAAACUCAAACUCCUUCUUUCCCCAAUACACUCAGCUCCUCUCAAAGCCAUGUCCUUUGGCAUCUUCAUCUUUAAUUGCUGUUACAUACAUACAAGCACACACACACAUACAUACAUACAUACAUACAUACAUACAUACAUACAUACAUACAUACAAUAUAAGCUGCUCUGUCUGUAUAGUAUUAGGUAUAAGUACAUUGUUUCCGCACUUUGUACUUGACAUUGAGUAACCAAACAGGGAUCUUGUCUAGUGAAGACUGUAUCUACAGCUCUCACUACUCAGUUGCCUAUUGUUCUUUGUGUAGGGUUGUGGCCCUGCGAAAUUUCCUGUGCUUCCACAUGUCUGUUGUUGUCUUCCUUCUUUAGGCAGCCAUAUUGUUUGUACUAUUUGGGGGAAACUCCAUGACGUAUCUAGCGGACACAAUCUUAUAGCAGAUGUCCAGUCCCUCUGGCUCUUAUUGUCUUUCUGCUCCCUCUCCCCAGGUGUUAGCAGACCCUUAGGUGCAACCAUUAUGUUGUAGAUAGAUUGAUUGGGGAUGAGCACUAAAUUGUCUCUUGUUCUCUACAUGUUGAUCUUUUGUGGUUUUCUGUAAUCAUCUCCAUCUAUUGUAAAGACAAUUUUUUUUUCAUCAAGAGAUGAGAGCGACAUCUUUCUGUAGGUAUAAGGGUACAUUUUUAGAAUAGAGUUAGGCAUUAUGUUUACUUAAAAGUGACAGUUUACUUAGUAGAGACAGCUGUAGGUUCUAAUCUAAGGUCCAUUAUCUCCCUUGGCAUGGUAAUUGACUGAAUUUCCAGGACCAAGCCUGAUUUCCAUCUUUAAUGAGCAGGCCUUAAUUACUAAUAUACAUAUUUUGGUUCAGCAACAUAUAUGUACAACUACUGACAUUUUAGGGUUAUUGUGCCAUAUUGUUAAUUGCUUCAGUUCAUAGGAAUCAUAGAAGCCCAGGACUGUUGGUUGCAUCUUCCCUUGGAAGAUUGCAUGACAUUAUCUGAUACCAUGAAAGUUAGUACCCAGGGAGGUGGUUUUUCAAGUCAGAUCUAGCUUGUAUCCUUCAGGUCCUCUGUCCAAAGUGCAGUGGGGACUUACCUUUAUCUUCUUGGAAGCAUCUAAGGGCAACAGAAAAACAAAAACAAAAACUAUAACAUUUUAGAAGUCUCUUGGACAACUCUGAAGAAUAGCUCAAAAGAAGGAUUCUCAUAGUUACUGUUUAUUUUGUUGUAUUUUGAUUGAUUUUGUUAGAUAGUCUCUUGAGUGGAGCAUUGCCAUCCCAGGUUGAAAUUUUUUAUGUAAAACAUGCACAUAGACAUUGGUAGUAGAUGUAACUUUUGGUUAUUACAUAAUAAUUUGGAUGCUUAUUACUUUUUUUCGGUCCUGAUUUGCUUUCAAAUUUGUAAAGUUUCAUUCCAGUGACUAAUGAGCUAUAGAGAUGCUAUUUGGAAGAAAAGAGAAUCAGCUUGUAGUGGCAGUUAGUUUCAGGGAAUAGUGACCAAUUGAUUUUAUAAUUAUUUUCAAAAGGAACACAGAGUACUGAGGACACAGUUGUUAGAGGCUCUUUCUCUCAAUUGCUGUAACCAAGGUGACCCAGGAAGGGCUGUAUUCACCCUGACAAAUAUCCCCUCUAAAGGUUUAAGUUCCUUUGGGAUCAUUGUUGCCUGAGUGUAAAAAGGCCUGAGAUAGUUGUUUUAUUUGAUACUAAUUCAGGCAGGCAAGCCAUAACCAGGAGUGUCACAUCUAAAUGCCUAGGCAUACUGUUCAUCUUGCCUUUGCAAUUGGCCUCACAUUAGAGAACCAUGUCAAGGUCUGUUUGAUGCACAACAUUUCAGAACAGACUUCUCUUUUCCACUGUUAACAAUGAAAUAAAUUGCUAGGGUUCAGAGUGAGAGAAUUCUUUACGCUACUUUUAGGUACCAGGCAGUCUUUCUCUUUAGUAAUCUGGCUGGUAAUAGCUAGUUGAUAACUAAGUAUAGAGAGAUUGAGCUUAAUGUGAGUUUGUUGGGUUCAAAGUAUUAUGUGUUUUUGGGGGGGAGGUGUUAUGUACUAUAUUGAAAGCAAAUUAUGCAUCCUUGGCAUAAAUCUCAGAAUCUUACCUGUCUAUCUAUCUAUCUAUCUAUCUAUCUAUCUAUCUAUCUAUCUAUCUAUCUAUCAAUCAAUCAUAUCUACCUUUCAUUCUAUCUAUCUAUCUAUCUAUCUAUCUAUCUAUCUAUCUAUCUAUCUAUCUAUCUAAAUGCUGGGAGAGCUAGAGUCAGUUUUCUUUGUGAGCUAACCACAGUUAAUUAGGAGGACACACAAGAGUAUAUGGUCAGGAAAAUUGGACUUGAUUAAUCUACAUUUUUUUUUUGAAAAAGAGAACCCACUGUUAAGUGGGUAGGGAGAGAUCCACAGGGAGAUGGAAAACAUACAUAUUAUUAAAUACAUUGUGUGAUAUCCUCAAAGGACUAAUUGUAAAGGUCAAUACAAAGUGCAUUUUGUAAAUAUGGAAAUGAUCACUCAGCCUUUUCAUAAAAAAAGAAACUCCACUCUGCUAGUGUAUACCUAUGUCUAUGUUAAAUAUAUUUAACAUCAUUUUCACAUCUCAUAAAAUACAAAAUCAUAGUCCAUUGUAAAUGUCUAAGCUCCAUAUACAUUCCAUCCAAAAAUGGUGAAGCGUUCAUUUCCAUUAAUGCAUCUUUGGCCUUUUAGAUUCGGUUACCAGUAUGAAGAUAUUUGUAGGAAAUUUGAGUAUGUGCCAGAUUUCCUGGAAAUAAUUAAUUGGCAUCCAUAAAGAAUGAAAGGGUUGGGAAAAGGAAGACUUGCAAUAAAGACACAGCCGGCUUUCAUGGAAGAUAAAUGGCAGAAUUAAAGGCAGCAUUGAAGUGAAAUUAAAUCACUGUGUUGCACUUCAAACAUUUUGUUUUUUAAUUAAUUAUUUAUUUAUUUUUACUUUAUCAGGGUUCUGUUAUUCAUUGUGCUUAAAAGAUUAUACUUUCUGUGGAGAACCUGCAGGUGUUCGCUUCCCUUACUAAACUGAGCUGCUAUGUGGACCACCUGCCUGUGUUGAUGGAUUAAUGCGAAGGAAGGGAUGCUCCUUAAUACUGCCUGUGUUAUCUUUGAUCCUUUUACUUUGAUAAAUGGAUAUGAACUAGAGUCAAAGUUGACAGUUUGGGAGAAAUUGAGAUAAGUUUAUUAAAAUAGAAGAGAAUGUGGAAAAACAUGAUCUUUUCAGAUUAAUGUCUGAAUAUCUCAUAGUGUCAAAAUAUGAGCCAGUCAGUUUGGUUAUUCUUUUAAGGAAAAAAAUACCCUUCAAAGCUUGGGGCUAAUUAGUUAUCUUUCAUAUUUCCAUUUAGCUUAUUUUCAUCUCUGUGAAGUUAAAAAAAAAUGCUACUCCAUGACUUGUUUUAUUU
rnacentral:lncRNA from 1 species